AGCUUAUUUGUUGGACACAAUGUAGGUGCAAAGCUGAAGGGUCGAAGAUCAACAAGGAAGGAUGGGAAUAACCAAGAUGGUCAGAGUGGUGGCGGUGCAGGUUGGAUUCCUCCACCAGUUGCGAAUAUUCUUUUCAAAGAAAGCGUUCCUACUGCAGGCGCUAGGUAGUUUACCGGUGUCAUGUGGCCGUGGUACGUUUGCUAUUCCUAUCCGGUCAAGAAAUGAAGUCUGAAACGAGGCCAAAUGUACCUAGCGCCAGCGAAUAUGGAUGGUCCGAAUCUGGUUAGGCCAAAAACAAAAAUAAUCUGUGUAAUUAGAAGACUGAUGAUAUGUGUGUGUGUGUGUGUGUGUGUGUAUAUAAAUCUGCAGUUGCUACUCUGCUUGCAAUGUAAAUAUUUG
rnacentral:lncRNA from 1 species